rnacentral:rRNA from 1 species
GCAAGUCGAGGGGUAACAUUAGAGCUUGCUCUAGAUGACGACCGGCGCACGGGUGAGUAACGCGUACACGACCUACCGUUAAGAGGGGGAUAGCCUUGGGAAACUGAGAUUAAUACCCCAUAGUACUAUUGUUAUUAGAAGAUGAUAGUUAAAGUUCCGGCGCUUAAAGAUGGGUGUGCGUACGAUUAGCUAGUUGGUGAGGUAACGGCUCACCAAGUCUACGAUCUUUAGGGGGCGUGAGAGCGUGAGC